UACGUAGGGGGCAAGCGUUGUCCGGAAUCAUUGGGCGUAAAGCGCGUGUAGGCGGUCCGGUAAGUCGGCUGUGAAAGUCCAGGGCUCAACCCUGGGAUGCCGGUGGAUACUGUCGGACUAGAGUACGGAAGAGGCGAGUGGAAUUCCUGGUGUAGCGGUGAAAUGCGCAGAUAUCAGGAGGAACACCAAUUGCGAAGGCAGCUCGCUGGGACGUUACUGACGCUGAGACGCGAAAGCGUGGGGAGCAAACAGG
rnacentral:rRNA from 1 species